GUCCAGACUCCUACGGGAGGCAGCAGUGGGGGAUAUUGGACAAUGGGGGGAACCCUGAUCCAGCGACGCCGCGUGAGUGAAGAAGUAUUUCGGUAUGUAAAACUCUGUCAGCAGGGAAGAAAGAAAUGACGGUACCUGACCAAGAAGCCCCGGCUAACUACGUGCCAGCAGCCGCGGUAAUACGUAGGGGGCAAGCGUUAUCCGGAAUUACUGGGUGUAAAGGGAGCGUAGACGGUUAAGUAAGUCUGGAGUGAAAGGCCGGGGCCCAACCCCGGGACUGCUCUGGAAACUGUGUAGCUUGAGUGCAGGAGAGGUAAGCGGAAUUCCUAGUGUAGCGGUGAAAUGCGUAGAUAUUAGGAGGAACACCAGUGGCGAAGGCGGCUUACUGGACUGUAACUGACGUUGAGGCUCGAAAGCGUGGGGAGCAAACAGGAUUAGAUACCCUCGUAAA
rnacentral:rRNA from 1 species